GAUGAAGAACGCAGCGAAAUGCGAUACGUAGUGUGAAUUGCAGAAUUCCGUGAACCAUCGAAUCUUUGAACGCAUAUUGCGCUCUUUGGUAUUCCGAAGAGCAUGCUUGUUUGAGUAUCAGUAAACACCUCAACCUCUUCUUGAUUUUUCAAAAGGAGGGUGGACUUGAGCUAUCCCAACAACCUUUACCGGUCGGCGGGCGGCUUGAAAUGCAGGUGCAGCUGGACUUUUAUCUGAGCUAAAAGCAUAUCUAUUUAGUCCUCGUCAAACAGGAUUAUUACUUUUGCUGCAGCUAACAUAAAGGAUAAUUGUCCUCUUUGCUGACUGAUGCAGGAUUUUACGACACUUUAUGUGUUGUUCAACUCGAUCUCAAAUCAAGUAAGACUACCCGCUGAACUUAAGCAUAUCAAUAACGGAGGA
rnacentral:misc_RNA from 1 species